rnacentral:tRNA from 1 species
CCGGGCGUAGCGCAGCGGACAGCGCGCCGGUUUCCUAAACCGAAGGCCGUGAGUUCGAAUCUCACCGCCCGGU